rnacentral:rRNA from 1 species
AGGGCGCACGGUGGAUGCCUUGGCACUAGAAGCCGAUGAAGGACGUUACUAACGACGAUAUGCUUUGGGGAGCUGUAAGUAAGCUUUGAUCCAGAGAUUUCCGAAUGGGGAAACCCAACAUGAGUUAUGUCAUGUUAUCGAUAUGUGAAUACAUAGCAUAUCAGAAGGCACACCCGGAGAACUGAAACAUCUUAGUACCCGGAGGAAGAGAAAGAAAAUUCGAUUCCCUUAGUAGCGGCGAGCGAAACGGGAAGAGCCCAAACCAACAAGCUUGCUUGUUGGGGUUGUAGGACACUCUAUACGGAGUUACAAAGGACGACAUUAGACGAAUCAUCUGGAAAGAUGAAUCAAAGAAGGUAAUAAUCCUGUAGUCGAAAAUGUUGUCUCUCUUGAGUGGAUCCUGAGUACGACGGAGCACGUGAAAUUCCGUCGGAAUCUGGGAGGACCAUCUCCUAAGGCUAAAUACUCUCUAGUGACCGAUAGUGAACCAGUACCGUGAGGGAAAGGUGAAAAGCACCCCGGAAGGGGAGUGAAAUAGAACCUGAAACCGUGUGCUUACAAGUAGUCAGAGCCCGUUAAUGGGUGAUGGCGUGCCUUUUGUAGAAUGAACCGGCGAGUUACGAUUUGAUGCAAGGUUAAGCAGUAAAUGUGGAGCCGUAGCGAAAGCGAGUCUGAAUAGGGCGUUUAGUAUUUGGUCGUAGACCCGAAACCAGGUGAUCUACCCUUGGUCAGGUUGAAGUUCAGGUAACACUGAAUGGAGGACCGAACCGACUUACGUUGAAAAGUGAGCGGAUGAACUGAGGGUAGCGGAGAAAUUCCAAUCGAACCUGGAGAUAGCUGGUUCUCUCCGAAAUAGCUUUAGGGCUAGCCUCAAGUGAUGAUUAUUGGAGGUAGAGCACUGUUUGGACGAGGGGCCCCUCUCGGGUUACCGAAUUCAGACAAACUCCGAAUGCCAAUUAAUUUAACUUGGGAGUCAGAACAUGGGUGAUAAGGUCCGUGUUCGAAAGGGAAACAGCCCAGACCACCAGCUAAGGUCCCAAAAUAUAUGUUAAGUGGAAAAGGAUGUGGCGUUGCCCAGACAACUAGGAUGUUGGCUUAGAAGCAGCCAUCAUUUAAAGAGUGCGUAAUAGCUCACUAGUCGAGUGACACUGCGCCGAAAAUGUACCGGGGCUAAACAUAUUACCGAAGCUGUGGAUUGUCCUUUGGACAAUGGUAGGAGAGCGUUCUAAGGGCGUUGAAGCAUGAUCGUAAGGACAUGUGGAGCGCUUAGAAGUGAGAAUGCCGGUGUGAGUAGCGAAAGACGGGUGAGAAUCCCGUCCACCGAUUGACUAAGGUUUCCAGAGGAAGGCUCGUCCGCUCUGGGUUAGUCGGGUCCUAAGCUGAGGCCGACAGGCGUAGGCGAUGGAUAACAGGUUGAUAUUCCUGUACCACCUAUAAUCGUUUUAAUCGAUGGGGGGACGCAGUAGGAUAGGCGAAGCGUGCGAUUGGAUUGCACGUCUAAGCAGUAAGGCUGAGUAUUAGGCAAAUCCGGUACUCGUUAAGGCUGAGCUGUGAUGGGGAGAAGACAUUGUGUCUUCGAGUCGUUGAUUUCACACUGCCGAGAAAAGCCUCUAGAUAGAAAAUAGGUGCCCGUACCGCAAACCGACACAGGUAGUCAAGAUGAGAAUUCUAAGGUGAGCGAGCGAACUCUCGUUAAGGAACUCGGCAAAAUGACCCCGUAACUUCGGGAGAAGGGGUGCUCUUUAGGGUUAACGCCCAGAAGAGCCGCAGUGAAUAGGCCCAAGCGACUGUUUAUCAAAAACACAGGUCUCUGCUAAACCGUAAGGUGAUGUAUAGGGGCUGACGCCUGCCCGGUGCUGGAAGGUUAAGAGGAGUGGUUAGCUUCUGCGAAGCUACGAAUCGAAGCCCCAGUAAACGGCGGCCGUAACUAUAACGGUCCUAAGGUAGCGAAAUUCCUUGUCGGGUAAGUUCCGACCCGCACGAAAGGCGUAACGAUUUGGGCACUGUCUCAACGAGAGACUCGGUGAAAUCAUAGUACCUGUGAAGAUGCAGGUUACCCGCGACAGGACGGAAAGACCCCGUGGAGCUUUACUGUAGCCUGAUAUUGAAAUUCGGCACAGCUUGUACAGGAUAGGUAGGAGCCUUUGAAACGUGAGCGCUAGCUUACGUGGAGGCGCUGGUGGGAUACUACCCUAGCUGUGUUGGCUUUCUAACCCGCACCACUUAUCGUGGUGGGAGACAGUGUCAGGCGGGCAGUUUGACUGGGGCGGUCGCCUCCUAAAAGGUAACGGAGGCGCUCAAAGGUUCCCUCAGAAUGGUUGGAAAUCAUUCAUAGAGUGUAAAGGCAUAAGGGAGCUUGACUGCGAGACCUACAAGUCGAGCAGGGUCGAAAGACGGACUUAGUGAUCCGGUGGUUCCGCAUGGAAGGGCCAUCGCUCAACGGAUAAAAGCUACCCCGGGGAUAACAGGCUUAUCUCCCCCAAGAGUUCACAUCGACGGGGAGGUUUGGCACCUCGAUGUCGGCUCAUCGCAUCCUGGGGCUGUAGUCGGUCCCAAGGGUUGGGCUGUUCGCCCAUUAAAGCGGUACGCGAGCUGGGUUCAGAACGUCGUGAGACAGUUCGGUCCCUAUCCGUCGUGGGCGUAGGAAAUUUGAGAGGAGCUGUCCUUAGUACGAGAGGACCGGGAUGGACAUACCUCUGGUGUACCAGUUGUCGUGCCAACGGCAUAGCUGGGUAGCUAUGUGUGGACGGGAUAAGUGCUGAAAGCAUCUAAGCAUGAAGCCCCCCUCAAGAUGAGAUUUCCCAACUUCGGUUAU